rnacentral:misc_RNA from 1 species
UGGCAUAAUUCAGAAAGUAAAACCUGCUCACUCAAAACUGUAUACCAUAUCUGUCCACUGUUUCAGAUAUACUAUAACAGCAAUCAUAUCAAUAAAGUGCUCCCAUCAAUAUGGGGGGGAAAUCCUACCAAUAAUAAUUGAACAGCCAAUAACUAAGUCUUAAAAUGCAAGCGUUAAAACACCUUUAUUUGCCCAUGGUUUUUCUGUUGCUAAACGUACAUUCGUUAAUUAAAAAUGCAAACUACAGCAAGAGAAGCAAAUAAAUCCCAGAAACCAAAACUGCUAAAGCCCAAGUCGAUGACUCCUAAAACCAAACCCAGCAACCAUCACCACCAAACUCAAAACAG